ACUUCAUAGGAAUUUGUAUUGCC
rnacentral:piRNA from 1 species